GCACUGCUGAGGCGUCUCAUAAUAGGACGAAACGGCCGUCCAGUGU
rnacentral:hammerhead_ribozyme from 1 species